ensembl:lncRNA
CGUCAGCACUUCACGAGAAACCAGCUGAAAGCCUCUCCCCGUGUCAGUCUUUGGCAAGUCUAGUGAUAGGAAGAUGUGUGAAAGUUCAGGAUAUCGCAGUCCGGCUGUUCAUUGCUCUGCUGAUUACUCUGUGGUUUGAGCCUUGAGUAAAUUUUCAGAAACAAGAAAGUUUUGAGUUUGUUUCAGGAAUGAAGAGGUUAAUGAAGCCUGAACUACCUCGUGAAGACAUUCCUGUUCUUGUCAGCCUUGGCGUUAUUGUAAUUGUCAGCAAUCACCAACAAGUCAAAGAGCUGAAAUAAGAUGAAACAAAUUUUCAGAGUUCCUUCUGUCUGCCGCUCAGGAGUAAUGGCAAUUCUAUAGUGCUUCUUUUGAAAGUUGAAAUGACAGCUGUUAGUAAAUAGUUUACCAACAUUUCCUGUGUUUGAAUGAAUAAAAGUGUUCAUAAAAACAUGUUUUGAAGUUGUUUUAAUGAUUUAAUAUUUAGAAGUAAGAAAUCUGUAGCAGAGGAAACAACUCUCAACACCGGACUGCUAGCUGAGUUUCACUUCUGUGGGUGCUUAGACCAAGGUUUCCCUUAGGCUGUUUUUAGUUUCAAGUGGUAAUUGAAUUUGGGGAAAUUUCAGACUAAUUACAAGUCACUUUCAGUAUGCUGGCUAUUUCAAAUAUGUCAUGUGAUUGAGAAUAACAUCAUUCAUUGUGUUGGAAUUACCUGAUGACUUUUUUGUAGGCAAUGUUAUGUUGCAAAACAGUGUUUACAUAAAAUGCUUCAACCACAGGAUUAGCUUGGUACCAGUAUGCAGUAUGAAGAGAUCUUAGGAAAACCAUAAUACCUGUGGGAUGUUGGCAGGCAGAGAUAAAGAGGUAGAUGUGAACUAAAAAAAAAACAAGCCAGCAUUUUUUACACAACACUCACUGUAUCUGUGUAAAGCCAGGAGAUGCAUGAAGUAUGACUUCAAAGACAUGGUUAUUUUCUUCAGUUGUUCUCUUCCCGACAACUUGCUUGUAGACAUUACAUUAACCUGUCAUUCUUAAGUCUUUACUGUGUUUAAUGCAUCUGGGUUUUGCUGCAGACUAAAAUCUCAUAAGUAGAUGACAAGUAUGAUUUUAAACCAUCCAUUUUCAUUCCAUUAUUGAUCAUGCAUUUUCUUACAUUUAG